CGCGAGGCGAGGGGCGGGGGGGGGGGGCGGGACGCCGCCGGGGCCGCGCGGAGCCCCACACCCGCGGAGACAAAGCGGCCUCUGAAACAACCUGCCGUCCUGGUGAACACAAUCGAGCAAGGCAGCGAAGCAAAAAUCAUUAGACAAGGUAACUGAGGCACAAAGAGUUCAAGCAACUUGUCCAAAGUCAUCCUCCAGUAAGUGGUGGGGCCAGGACUUGAACGCAGGAAGUCUGCCUCUUGUAUCCAGGCUGUCAUCCACUCAGCCAUGCUGUCUCGUAAAAAGAAGUCAAGUCACACAAAUAAUGUUACAUGUCUUUAAAAGGUGGCUGGACUCAGACACAUCACGCUCCAGUUUGGGUUCCAAGGUGCUUCUCUCUGGAUUUUCACCUGCCUUGCCAAAAAUGAUUGAUUACGCCGGGCCGACUGGGUGUCCGGCAAUACCCAACAAAUGACUUUGGCCCCUAACAGCAGGCCUUGGCCAGAUAGAAAUCAAUAUUUCACCAUUAAAAUCUAUCAAAGAAGAGUUAAGGCACCAUCUGUCCCUGCCGCCUCUCUAUGUAACUGAGUCUCGGAAAGAAUAAAAUCUGACCUGGAUUGAGAAUCUUACUUCCUGAUUUCCAAGUUACAACACUGUACUGAAAGACCGAAGUCAAUCAUUUGGGUAAAAAAAAAUGUGGCAACAUUUUCCCAAGGACUUGGAGGAGGAAACCACCAUCCAGAAAGGAAAAUCUUUCAAGUUGGAAUGUGCUCUAGGCUGCCUCUUUAAAUGAAAAACGUUAUAUGCCUGGGAAAUAUUAUAUCUGCCAACGUCAUAUCAGGGGCUCACUGUAAUAACGAUAGCAUCAACUCCAUGCUGCUCUUCAUCCCUGAGACUCCAGAAAGGGCCUUAAAAUGAAAUUUUAUACAAGUGCACACAAACAUACACGCCAUUGGAAAAAUUCACACAUAUAUCACUUUGUCCACCUCUCUAAUGAAGGUGGAAUGCGGUGGCAGAUGUUUCACAGCUGCCCAACACUCACCCUCCAGCAGUUUAGGACAGGAAGCCAAGGACACUCGAUCCAAGAGGAAUUGCAGGGAGAGUUGAGGGAGGUAAAAUCCAAUCCUGCAAACUGGGAUUCAGCCAAAUGCAUGGAGCACCCCUCCAUAUCAUUGCCUCAUCCCUUACUCCAAGAUACCGAAUGAAGAAAAAUGACAGGCAUCUAUCUGCAUCUGAGAGGCCAUGCUGGAACUAGGAAAGAUUCCUAACACUUGAGGCAUACGUGCUGUGUACACAGCCUGCAGCCCAGCACAGUGAGGUCAAGGUUAUAGGUUUGGUCCCCAGUCCAGUUAAAUAUCUUAACUCUGUUGAAUAGCCCUUGGCUUUAUCCCUACUGUAUAGACGGCUGCCAGCCCGUUACGGGAUAAACCCUUUCAUAAACAAUGCCUCACUGAUGCACCGUGGAGGGUAGGGGAGCACAGGGAUUGGCCACGGCAUCUUGUCCAACAAAGUCAGACACUGUAUACAAAGGGAGGUAAGGGAACAACUAGCUGGGGAGCAUCUCACUCAGGGCAUAGCUUUUCCUUUGCUAUUUUAUGAAUCCUUACUAGAUCUUAUUUAUCUGAACUUUACAAAUGAAGAAAACUGAGGCUUUGCAGUGUUUAAGCAAUGUAUUGGGGUUAUACCUGCAAUAAGUCAGAUUCAAACUCAGGUCUACUGACCUCAAGAUGACUACAUCUGUGCUACCAUCAUAUCAGGACUUGGGCUAUUGCUAACACCUCAGAAAUCUUUUUGCCUCGCCCAAUUCAUUACCCACCCUCCUCUCCAGGAAAGAAAAUGGGAAUCCUGGGACCACUCCAUGACAGUCCUUCAAAGGUCAAACUUGGAUUCAGUAAAGACAUCCUGGCAGAGAGAGCUACAUGAUUUCAAAAUAAAGGAUCCAAGUAUUUAUUGAAGACCUGUUACGUCACCUGCAACUCUACACUGCCAAGUAAAAGCUCAGAUAAACAACUUCUGACUGGGAAGAUUUCUUCAUCAAAAAUACCUCAAUUGUUUUUUGUUUUCAUAAAGUGAUUCCAAGAGAAGUAUUAAAGGCCUUUAGGUGACAUUCUCCGAGCGCAUGCUGUGGAUUGCCUAAGUGAUAUUCCAGAGGCUUCUAUUUCACGAUGGUGAACUGAGGCCAAGAAUUUGCCUUCCCUCCUUCCUGAGAUACUUUCAAAAUGAUCGAAAGGAAUUUCUUAAUGAUAAAUCAAUAAUAAUGAAGAGAACAGGAGGGGAGCCAUCUCUGAAGAAGAAAUUUUGACAGAUUUUAGGAAGACAAACGCAUUUGGAAGAAUGUCAGUACAUCAACAGAUAAACCAGAGAAAAGGUAUAUGCGGCCCAGAGUACAUGAGGGCUUAUUAUGUGCCACCUGUGUCCCCAGUGCUCCAUGUGUUUUACCCUCAGGACGACCCGCAAAGCGGGCUCCUCGCCCCUUGCAGGUGGGGCCGGAGCGUCCAGAUGUGGCCCUCCAGAUGAUCCGCUCUUCACUGCCGUCCCUACAGGGAAGUUCACCGCCGAGAGGCAACCACACUACAACGUCCCUAUGUGAGUGUAAGCUGAGUGGGGCCCAGGCGAUCGUCGCUAAGGCUUCCUGGAGGAGACCAUCCCUGAGCUGAGCAGAAUGGAGACCUGGGGGAGGGGGGCAGAGUUU